UACGUAGGGGGCAAGCGUUGUCCGGAUUUAUUGGGCGUAAAGAGCGUGUAGGCGGCCAGGGAGGUCCGUUGUGAAAACUCGAGGCUCAACCUCGAGACGCCGAUGGAAACCCCCUGGCUAGAGUCCGGAAGAGGAGAAUGGAAUUCCUGGUGUAGCGGUGAAAUGCGCAGAUAUCAGGAAGAACACCCGUGGCUAAGGCGGUUCUCUGGAACGCAACUGACGCUGAGACGCGAAAGCGUGGGGAGCAAACAGG
rnacentral:rRNA from 1 species